rnacentral:rRNA from 1 species
UACGAAGGGGGCUAGGCGUUGCUCGGAAUCACUGGGCGUAAAGCGCACGUAGGCGGCUUUUUAAGUCAGGGGUGAAAUCCUGGAGCUCAACUCCAGAACUGCCUUUGAUACUGAGAGCUUGAGUCCGGGAGAGGUGAGUGGAACUGCGAGUGUAGAGGUGAAAUUCGUAGAUAUUCGCAAGAACACCAGUGGCGAAGGCGGCUCACUGGCCCGGUACUGACGCUGAGGUGCGAAAGCGUGGGGAGCAAACAGG